rfam:Saprolegnia parasitica CBS 223.65 unplaced genomic scaffold supercont2.13, whole genome shotgun sequence.
NNUGGCGACUUGAUGAUUUGAAUAUGCAUAGUUCAACUGAAAAUUUAUGAUGAACUAACAUCAGCAAUGUCUUUCGCUCCUAUCUGAUCUCCAAU